rnacentral:rRNA from 1 species
AGUUAGCCGUGGCUUAUUCCUCAGGUACCGUCAUUAUCGUCCCUGAGAAAAGAGGUUUACAACCCGAAGGCCUUCAUCCCUCACGCGGCGUUGCUGCCUCAGGGUUUCCCCCAUUGGGCAAAAUUCCCGA